rnacentral:lncRNA from 1 species
UUUUUUUUUUUGGUGUGUGUGUGUGUGGGUGGGUGGGUGGGGGGGGGGGGGAUCUAUGAUAGACAAUAUGGAACAUAUAUAGAAGAUAUACUGAAUUGUGUCAUUGUUAGCUUGACAGCAGCUAUGAAAGCAACAUGACCAAGUGUGGACGCGCAAGAUAAAUCUGUAGCUUGAAACUUUCAGGGAACACAUCAGAGUACAGAACUAAGGAAAAUCCAAUAAUGUAUUCACCUCGUAAACAAAAUUUAUCAUCACUAAUUCAUGGUCGUCAUCGUCCAAAUGUAUAUGCUAAUCUGCUCUCAAUAUAUCAAUAUCAGCUCCAUCACCAUUACUGUGCCUGCUUUCAGCUGCGUGAUGGAGCUUUUGGCAAUCUUCAGGUGCCAGCCGACCAAAUCUUGCCAUCUUUUCAGUUAACCUGGCAAUAGAUUCUUCCUGUUUGGCAAGCUGCAUAAGUAUCUUUAUCCUUCUAAAUGCAACAUUGCUGGGCUUUUGCCCCAGCUCAACCAUUUGAUGGAAGCACCUCUCCGCAUCCUCCAACUUCCCCUCAUCGCACAGCAAGUCAAAUAGCACAUCUGAUACCAAGGUGAAUGAUCCAAACCCAUUGCUAACCAUAUCACUCCACAGCUCAAGUGCUUGAGCCACCUCCCCAUGCCGACGGCACAGCCUUAUGAUGAACAUGCAAGAUUGUGUGUUUAGGAAGCAUCCUUCAGACCGCAUCCGCUCAUACAACCGCCAUGCGCUGCCAAUAUCGUACGCCCAGUAAUAGCACCUGAAGAAAAGGUUAUAAGUCGUGGGAUUCGGCUUCAGUCCCUUUGAGGCCAUUUCAUCCAUCAGGGCAAACGCAUCACCAAGUCUCUUUGCUAUAACAAAGUUCCGUAUUGCAGCGUUGUAUGCAGGGAUGUCUGGGUAGCACCCGAGUUCAUGCAUCUCCUUCAGCAAGUCCUUUGCCUUGUCAGGUUGGCCAAUCAACCCCAGCCCACCAAUCAGGCUCGUGUAAGUGAUCACAUCAGGGGAAAUGUCCUUCUCCCGCAUUUCGUCGAGCAGCUUGUAGGCCUUCUCCACGUCCUUGUUCUUGCAAUGGCAAUCGAUCAAGCUGUUAUAGGUCACCAGGUCGGGCUCCACCCCAAGCUCCCGCAUCUCGGCAACGAACGCCUCGGCGUCCUCGGCCGACUUCCAGCCGGAGAGCAGGAUGUUGAAGGUCUGGCGGUUCACCUGGAACUCGUAUUUGAGCGCGUGGUAGACAUUGCGCGCGUCGGACAUGCUCUUCUCCUGGCAGAGCGUGCGGAGCAGCGCAUUGAAGAGGCCGGUCGUGUCGGCGCGCCGGAACAUCCGCGCGAGGCGGCGGAAGGAGUCGACGGUCUCGCGGACGGAGCAGACCUUGGCGACGCGGCCGAGGACGACCAUGGCGGUGCGCGGGGAGACGGCGUUCGGGCAGAUGCGACGGGUGGAGUCGAGGAGGUCCCACAUAUGCGCGAACCGGCGGGACCGGCCGAGCACGUAGAGCGCGGUGUCGAUCGUGAAGGGCGAGGGCGCGUCGGCGGCGAGGGAGAGGAGAGAGAGAGCGCGGAGCGGGUCCCCGUGCGCGAAGCGGAAGCGGCGCAUGACGGCGUCGAGGAGCGGGGGCGUGAGCGGGACGGCGGAGGCCGCGAGCGCGGACUCCAUCGCGGACGGCGUGGGCGCGGACGUGACGAUGCGGUACACCGCGUCGGCGUCGGCAUCGGACGCGGGGGCGGCGGCGGUGGAGGUGGCCUCGGGUGCCGCGGACGGCGCCGCUGGCUUGCGGGGCUUGGAGACGUAUCGGAAGAGCCGUGGCGCGGGUUUGGGUGGCAUUUUGCGCGAGGCGGCCGGCGAUUGGGCAGGCGUCGUCGCGUCGCAGGGGCGGAGCGGCUUCAGCGGCUGCCGGCUGGGAAAGGGAGAACUGAGGACGAGCAGCUAGAUCUCGUAAUGGGCCUGUAUUCGCUGCGUUUCUUUUGGGCCUGUUUAUGGGUCAAAUUCUGCCGGGCUUUGCGCGUAUCAGUGUAUGGGCGGAAAAGCGUAGAGUUGGGGUAGCAGACAAGGAGACAACGAAAGGCAAGUGCAAAGCGGCCAUUUUGCAGUCCAUCUCGAAACCUCCUAUGUCCAACAGUUUUAAGUUGCAAUGCUUGAAACCAGAUGACGCUUCCCAUGCAACAUUGACCCUCUCCGCAUUGUGCGCAUAGCCAUUCCAUCCACACACAUGGCGGGAUACAUGUAAAAGAAAAAAGGCAAUGCCACGUGUCAUACACAGAAAGUAACUGAUAGAUCCAGUACUACGCAGUGGGGGGAAUAACUACGUGUUGCUGCGAAAGAAGAGGUGUUUACAGUGAGGAAGAAAUUCUUCAGAAAGGGCGCGGCUUCAAGGAGAUAGACAGUCCACUCAAGGUCGCAUUCAGCAAAGAUGUUGGAGAGAUACAAAUCCGUCAGGUUGCCAAAGACAGGUUGGACCAGCUUGGGGUCUUCCGGUUUAAUCCAAAUCUGAAACAAGCAAUCAGCAAAAAAUUGAAAUGGCACAAAUUGAACAACCGUGACGCCCAGCCUAUUGAAUCAGGGGCAAAUUAAAAAAGGAGGAAUCCAAGCAUUCAUACCAUAUAAUCUUGGAAGUCUAAUCUGACAGUUUCCAGCCUCGUGCCCGACAGCCAGUCGCUCAGCAUGAACGGUGGCUGCCAAUUCAUGGCAGCACAGCCAAAAUCAAUGCCCCGAAGGCUUGGGACGUGGCCGAAAACAACCGGAGGGCUUUCACGCGUCCAGGUAUCGUAAACACACACGCACGAGCUUAGGGACCCGGACGAGCUCGAUUCGCACGUAGCUGCAGAAUUCAAACACCAAUUCCAUCAGCCGAGACCGUGGCGCGUCGAUCCGCAGAACGGAUGGCCGGCCAGAAUCGCAGGAAUUCAGCAGAUUCGGCACAUCGGGCUCGUCGAAUCUCAUGUUCCGAACAGAGAGGCUUCUAAGACAUCUGAACGCGUAGGGGUAAGAGCCGAAGAACCUGCAGGUCCUGUAGCUCCGUCACCACGAUGAACUCGAGGAACUUGGUGUUCCCACGCUCGAGGACGCUGGUCACCGUGGAGCCAAUGGAUUCCAAGUGGGGAUCGGUCAGGCAGAAACGGAGGCGCAAGAGGUUGAUGGAUCGAUCAGCCGUGGGAGCCAACAACCUCUUUGUCGUUUCGGUGUAGAGAUCCACCAGAUCGUUGAGUUGGCUCGUCGCUGAAGUCUCUGUUCGGGGUUUGAAUCCGUCGACAUGAAUGUAAAGGUUUGUGAGCAGAUAAGGAAGCUGCUUCCUCCGCGUCGAGAGGGUGCUGGCCCUCAUCAGAGUUCUCAAGUCAAGGCGGUGCAUGAUAUCGACAAGAAUAUGGUCGGGGAGCGCGCUGAGCCUAUCGUCAUCUUCGGUUCCGUUUUUCUAGUGGCGCAAAGAAAAGAUAACAGAAACAUUUAGGGCAUUAUACAAACAAUUAGAACAUUGUACAAAAAAAAUUAUAAGAAAAACAGAAACAAUUAGGGGAAGAGGACGUGAACCCCAAAAAAAGAACUAUAUUUGGCGUGUUAGGAUUUUGUAAUUGAUCGGUUCGAAAACGUUGCAGCCAAAUGCGAGGGUGAGCCUUGGUAAAAAUUCGAGAGAAGGUAGGGGGACUUACAUUGUUGUGCGAUGGAGACGCCAUGAUAAGAGGCAAAAGUAACAAAAUAAUUCGUAGGAUCCGAAGCAGUACGAAUAAAACCGAUUACGUUCGGUGGUGCUUUAUACUAUUGGCCUUGAGGCCACAAGCACAAUAUUAGGCCUCUAAAUCAGCCCACGGAAACACCUCUAAAACAGCCAACGGAAACUCGGAAACGUAUCUGAGAACAACGAAGGUUGAUUAUCUAUCGGAUCGGAAGAAAGUUUGUAGCGAACAAGGAUUCGAAGUGCAGCCGACGAUGUGCAGUCGAGUUGCUGCAAGGCGCCGACGAUGUGCAGGAAAGAGUUGGUGAGCCUGACGGUGCAGACGAACAUCAACCUCCCCAUUCCUGUGUUUUCAAUAAUAUCAGCCUCAAGCUUACAAAGGAAAUUAACAAACUGUGAAUCAACAAUUGCUGAGAGGGCAGAGUCUUUGUCUCAUCCUUCCUAAAUCUCUUGGAAACCUGGCAUGCCAUUUGAGCUUGAUCAAAGGCAUAACCGGUCCCUCUCACAGCUAGCACCUAGAACCGCAGCAGCCAGUCCACUAACACAAGCAGAAUUGUGUUGUACUGUUGUUCGGAUGCACUGCUGAUUCCGAAAGGCAAUGGACAAUUCAACAUCUUUAAACAAUCGAAAAGCCACACAAUGAGUUGCUGAAUACAGGUUGUGUUCUCUAUCAACUAAUGCGAAUAUGCAAUGGCAAAUCCAAAUGUUUCAGAUUGGACUUCAUUGGUAGGAUACGGAUCAAGCAUUUCUUACAUAUACAUCCACAAAAUAAAGGAUUUCUUAUAUAGCAGAAUACUACCUACUUACGAAUUUCAUGUCACAAGCACCUAAGACUUCAAUCACCACAGUACCACACGCAGAUAACGAAGCAUUCAAUCAGACAAGCAACAAAAGAGCAUAAAGGUAGCAACAUCUAACUGUAGUUUAUAAAUCGCUUAAGAUUUCAUUGGCGCGAGAAUAUAAAUCAUGAUCCAUCACAGGCAGACCAAAACACUUCAGAAUUUAGGGCAAAACAGAUAGGUUCAAGACUAAAUUGCCACAACAGCAACCACUGAUCUAAAACAAGUUUGACAUAGUAGCAUGAUAACGACGAGAGGAGAUACGCGAUCAAGAG